rnacentral:rRNA from 1 species
UAGGGAAUCUUCGGCAAUGGGGGGAACCCUGACCGAGCAACGCCGCGUGAGUGAAGAAGGUUUUCGGAUCGUAAAGCUCUGUUGUUAAGGAAGAACGAGUGUGAGAAUGGAAAGUUCAUACUGUGACGGUACUUAACCAGAAAGGGACGGCUAACUACGUGCCAGCAGCCGCGGUAAUACGUAGGUCCCGAGCGUUGUCCGGAUUUAUUGGGCGUAAAGCGAGCGCAGGCGGUCAAUUAAGUCUGAUGUGAAAGCCCCCGGCUCAACCGGGGAGGGUCAUUGGAAACUGGUUGACUUGAGUGCAGAAGAAGAGAGUGGAAUUCCAGGUGUAGCGGUGAAAUGCGUAGAUAUAUGGAGGAACACCAGUGGCGAAGGCGACUCUCUGGUCUGUAACUGACGCUGAUGUGCGAAAGCGUGGGGAUCAAACAGG